GCGUACACGGUGGAUGCCCUGGCAGUCAGAGGCGAUGAAGGGCGUGCUAAUCUGCGAUAAGCGCCGGUAAGGUGAUAUGAACCGUUAUAACCGGCGAUACCCGAAUGGGGAAACCCAGUGUGAUUCGUCACACUAUCAUUAACUGAAUCCAUAGGUUAAUGAGGCGAACCGGGGGAACUGAAACAUCUAAGUACCCCGAGGAAAAGAAAUCAACCGAGAUUCCCCCAGUAGCGGCGAGCGAACGGGGAGGAGCCCAGAGCCUGAAUCAGCAUGUGUGUUAGUGGAAGCGUCUGGAAAGGCGCGCGAUACAGGGUGACAGCCCCGUACACAAAAGCGCAUGUGCUGUGAGCUCGAUGAGUAGGGCGGGACACGUGGUAUCCUGUCUGAAUAUGGGGGGACCAUCCUCCAAGGCUAAAUACUCCUGACUGACCGAUAGUGAACCAGUACCGUGAGGGAAAGGCGAAAAGAACCCCGGCGAGGGGAGUGAAAAAGAACCUGAAACCGUGUACGUACAAGCAGUGGGAGCACCCUUCGGGGUGUGACUGCGUACCUUUUGUAUAAUGGGUCAGCGACUUAUAUUCUGUAGCAAGGUUAACCGUAUAGGGGAGCCGGAGGGAAACCGAGUCUUAACCGGGCGUUAAGUUGCAGGGUAUAGACCCGAAACCCGGUGAUCUAGCCAUGGGCAGGUUGAAGGUUGGGUAACACUAACUGGAGGACCGAACCGACUAAUGUUGAAAAAUUAGCGGAUGACCUGUGGCUGGGGGUGAAAGGCCAAUCAAACCGGGAGAUAGCUGGUUCUCCCCGAAAGCUAUUUAGGUAGCGCCUCGUGAAUUCAUCUCCGGGGGUAGAGCACUGUUUCGGCUAGGGGGCCAUCCCGGCUUACCAACCCGAUGCAAACUGCGAAUACCGGAGAAUGUUAUCACGGGAGACACACGGCGGGUGCUAACGUCCGUCGUGAAGAGGGAAACAACCCAGACCGCCAGCUAAGGUCCCAAAGUCAUGGUUAAGUGGGAAACGAUGUGGGAAGGCCCAGACAGCCAGGAUGUUGGCUUAGAAGCAGCCAUCAUUUAAAGAAAGCGUAAUAGCUCACUGGUCGAGUCGGCCUGCGCGGAAGAUGUAACGGGGCUAAACCAUGCACCGAAGCUGCGGCAGCGAACGUAUCACCCAAGACAACUUUACGGAGUUGACGAUUGACGGAGCGAAGCGACGUCAAAGCGUUCAUUAAAGUCGAGUUGGCUUAGGGAUACGUUCGUUGGGUAGGGGAGCGUUCUGUAAGCCUGUGAAGGUGUGUCGUGAGGCAUGCUGGAGGUAUCAGAAGUGCGAAUGCUGACAUAAGUAACGAUAAAGCGGGUGAAAAGCCCGCUCGCCGGAAGACCAAGGGUUCCUGUCCAACGUUAAUCGGGGCAGGGUGAGUCGACCCCUAAGGCGAGGCCGAAAGGCGUAGUCGAUGGGAAACGGGUUAAUAUUCCCGUACUUGGUGUUACUGCGAAGGGGGGACGGAGAAGGCUAUGUUGGCCGGGCGACGGUUGUCCCGGUUUAAGCGUGUAGGUGUGUGUUCCAGGUAAAUCCGGUUCACUUUAACACUGAGGCGUGACGACGAGGCACUACGGUGCUGAAGCAACAAAUGCCCUGCUUCCAGGAAAAGCCUCUAAGCAUCAGGUAACACGAAAUCGUACCCCAAACCGACACAGGUGGUCAGGUAGAGAAUACCAAGGCGCUUGAGAGAACUCGGGUGAAGGAACUAGGCAAAAUGGUGCCGUAACUUCGGGAGAAGGCACGCUGACACGUAGGUGAAGUGAUUUACUCAUGGAGCUGAAGUCAGUCGAAGAUACCAGCUGGCUGCAACUGUUUAUUAAAAACACAGCACUGUGCAAACACGAAAGUGGACGUAUACGGUGUGACGCCUGCCCGGUGCCGGAAGGUUAAUUGAUGGGGUCAGCGUAAGCGAAGCUCCUGAUCGAAGCCCCGGUAAACGGCGGCCGUAACUAUAACGGUCCUAAGGUAGCGAAAUUCCUUGUCGGGUAAGUUCCGACCUGCACGAAUGGCGUAAUGAUGGCCAGGCUGUCUCCACCCGAGACUCAGUGAAAUUGAACUCGCUGUGAAGAUGCAGUGUACCCGCGGCAAGACGGAAAGACCCCGUGAACCUUUACUAUAGCUUGACACUGAACAUUGAGCCUUGAUGUGUAGGAUAGGUGGGAGGCUUUGAAGUGUGGACGCCAGUCUGCAUGGAGCCGACCUUGAAAUACCACCCUUUAAUGUUUGAUGUUCUAACGUGGACCCGUAAUCCGGGUUGCGGACAGUGUCUGGUGGGUAGUUUGACUGGGGCGGUCUCCUCCUAAAGAGUAACGGAGGAGCACGAAGGUUGGCUAAUCCUGGUCGGACAUCAGGAGGUUAGUGCAAUGGCAUAAGCCAGCUUGACUGCGAGCGUGACGGCGCGAGCAGGUGCGAAAGCAGGUCAUAGUGAUCCGGUGGUUCUGAAUGGAAGGGCCAUCGCUCAACGGAUAAAAGGUACUCCGGGGAUAACAGGCUGAUACCGCCCAAGAGUUCAUAUCGACGGCGGUGUUUGGCACCUCGAUGUCGGCUCAUCACAUCCUGGGGCUGAAGUAGGUCCCAAGGGUAUGGCUGUUCGCCAUUUAAAGUGGUACGCGAGCUGGGUUUAGAACGUCGUGAGACAGUUCGGUCCCUAUCUGCCGUGGGCGCUGGAGAACUGAGGGGGGCUGCUCCUAGUACGAGAGGACCGGAGUGGACGCAUCACUGGUGUUCGGGUUGUCAUGCCAAUGGCACUGCCCGGUAGCUAAAUGCGGAAGAGAUAAGUGCUGAAAGCAUCUAAGCACGAAACUUGCCCCGAGAUGAGUUCUCCCUGAGACUUAGAGUCUCCUGAAGGAACGUUGAAGACGACGACGUUGAUAGGCCGGGUGUGUAAGCGCAGCGAUGCGUUGAGCUAACCGGUACUAAUGAACCGUGAGGCUUAACCUUACAACGCCGAAGA
rnacentral:rRNA from 1 species